GACGAACGCUGGCGGCGUGCUUAACACAUGCAAGUCGAACGGAAAGGCCCUGCUUUUGUGGGGUGCUCGAGUGGCGAACGGGUGAGUAACACGUGAGUAACCUGCCCUUGACUUUGGGAUAACUUCAGGAAACUGGGGCGAAUACCGGAUAGGAGCUCCUGCUGCAUGGUGGGGGUUGGAAAGUUUCGGCGGUUGGGGAUGGACGCGCGGCUUAUCAGCUUGUUGGUGGGGUAGUGGCUUACCAAGGCUUUGACGGGUAGCCGGCCUGAGAGGGUGACCGGCCACAUUGGGACUGAGAUACGGCCCAGACUCCUACGGGAGGCAGCAGUGGGGAAUAUUGCACAAUGGGCGGCAGCCUGAUGCAGCAACGCCGCGUGCGGGAUGACGGCCUUCGGGUUGUAAACCGCUUUCGCCUGUGACGAAGCGUGAGUGACGGUAAUGGGUAAAGAAGCACCGGCUAACUACGUG
rnacentral:rRNA from 1 species